CUGUGAGCUCGAUGAGUAGGGCGGGACACGUGGUAUCCUGUCUGAAUAUGGGGGGACCAUCCUCCAAGGCUAAAUACUCCUGACUGACCGAUAGUGAACCAGUACCGUGAGGGAAAGGCGAAAAGAACCCCGGCGAGGGGAGGGAAAAAGAACCUGAAACCGUGUACGUACAAGCAGUGGGAGCACGCUUAGGCGUGUGACUGCGUACCUUUUGUAUAAUGGGUCAGCGACUUAUAUUCUGUAGCAAGGUUAACCGAAUAGGGGAGCCGAAGGGAAACCGAGUCUUAACUGGGCGUUAAGUUGCAGGGUAUAGACCCGAAACCCGGUGAUCUAGCCAUGGGCAGGUUGAAGGUUGGGUAACACUAACUGGAGGACCGAACCGACUAAUGUUGAA
rnacentral:rRNA from 1 species